rnacentral:rRNA from 1 species
AGAGCGAACGCUGGCGGCAGGCUUAACACAUGCAAGUCGAGCGGGCGUAGCAAUACGUCAGCGGCAGACGGGUGAGUAACGCGUGGGAACAUACCUUUUGGUUCGGAACAACACAGGGAAACUUGUGCUAAUACCGGAUAAGCCCUUACGGGGAAAGAUUUAUCGCCGAAAGAUUGGCCCGCGUCUGAUUAGCUAGUUGGUGAGGUAACGGCUCACCAAGGCGACGAUCAGUAGCUGGUCUGAGAGGAUGAUCAGCCACAUUGGGACUGAGACACGGCCCAAACUCCUACGGGAGACAGCAGUGGGGAAUAUUGGACAAUGGGCGCAAGCCUGAUCCAGCCAUGCCGCGUGAGUGAUGAAGGCCCUAGGGUUGUAAAGCUCUUUUGUGCGGGAAGAUAAUGACGGUACCGCAAGAAUAAGCCCCGGCUAACUUCGUGUCAGCAGCCGC